rnacentral:rRNA from 1 species
AGAGUUUGAUCCUGGCUCAGGAUGAACGCUGGCGGCGUGCUUAACACAUGCAAGUCGAACGAAGCACUACCGACGGAACUUUUCGGAGGGAAGAUGGUAAUGACUGAGUGGCGGACGGGUGAGUAACGCGUGGGCAACCUGCCCCAUAGAGGGGGACAACAGCUGGAAACGGCUGCUAAUACCGCAUAACAAGGAGAGAGCGCAUGUUCUUUUCUUCAAAGAUUUAUCGCUAUGGGAUGGACCCGCGUCUGAUUAGCUGGUUGGUGAGGUAACGGCUCACCAAGGCGACGAUCAGUAGCCGGCUUGAGAGAGUGGACGGCCACAUUGGGACUGAGACACGGCCCAGACUCCUACGGGAGGCAGCAGUGGGGAAUAUUGCACAAUGGGGGAAACCCUGAUGCAGCGACGCCGCGUGAGUGAAGAAGUAUUUCGGUAUGUAAAGCUCUAUCAGCAGGGAAGAUAAUGACGGUACCUGACUAAGAAGCCCCGGCUAACUACGAGCCAGCAGCCGCGGUAAUACGUAGGGGGCAAGCGUUAUCCGGAUUUACUGGGUGUAAAGGGAGCGUAGGUGGCAGGGCAAGUCAGAUGUGAAAACCCGGGGCUCAACCCCGGGAGUGCAUUUGAAACUGUCCAGCUGGAGUGCAGGAGAGGUAAGCGGAAUUCCUAGUGUAGCGGUGAAAUGCAUAGAUAUUAGGAGGAACACCAGUGGCGAAGGCGGCUUGCUGGGCUUUUACUGACGCUGAGGCUCGAAAGCGUGGGGAGCAAACAGGAUUAGAUACCCUGGUAGUCCACGCUGUAAACGAUGAUUACUAGGUGUGGGGGGAUUGAACCCUUCCGUGCCGGAGUUAACACAAUAAGUAAUCCACCUGGGGAGUACGACCGCAAGGUUGAAACUCAAAGGAAUUGACGGGGGCCCGCACAAGCAGUGGAGUAUGUGGAUUAAUUCGAUGCAACGCGAAGAACCUUACCAGGUCUUGACAUCAAGUGCAAGUCCCAGAGAUGGGAUCCUCUCUUCGGAGACACGAAGACAGGUGGUGCAUGGUUGUCGUCAGCUCGUGUCGUGAGAUGUUGGGUUAAGUCCCGCAACGAGCGCAACCCUUAUGAUUAGUUGCUACGCAAGAGCACUCUGAUCAGACUGCCGUUGACAAAACGGAGGAAGGUGGGGAUGAGGUCAAAUCAUCAUGCCCCUUACGACCUGGGCCUCACACGUACUACAAUGGCGUUUAACAAAGAGCAGCAAAACCGCGAGGUGGAGCAAAUCUCCAAAAAACGUCUCAGUUCGGAUUGUAGGCUGCAACCCGCCUGCAUGAAGUCGGAAUUGCUAGUAAUCGUAGAUCAGCAUGCUACGGUGAAUACGAAGCCGGGCCUUGCACACACCGCCCGUCA